UCUGGUGCGAAGCUUUCGAAGCCCUAAGUCGGAGAUUUGUCUUCGAAUCUGGUCUUGAGUUCAGGUUCUUCACAAAUCACUCUUUUGAUUUGGGGUUUUGACUAACUGGAGAUUCUAAUAAAGGCUAACGGAAGAUUUCAGUGGAUUGUUGUUGGACGAGAACCUGGUGGCACAAGCUAUCAAGCUAUUGAUAGAAACGAAACAUGUUCUAAUAUCAAAUUUAUCAGCUAUCGGAAAUGGAACGCCUGAAGAAUUAGCAGAACAGUUCUGGUUUUCGUUUGUUUUGUUCUCGGUGAAAACAUUGAGUGAGAAGAGUUCUGAUAAUUCACAAAUUGAGAGCUGCUAAGCUGAACAUUGUGGAUUUCUUUAAGGAGCUUCCACAGUUUAUUGU
rnacentral:lncRNA from 1 species